UGUCUAGUAGCACCAAAGACCAACUAAGUUUGUUCUUGGUAUAAGCUUUUGUGUGCAUGCACACUUCUUCAGAGGCUUAUACCAAGAACAAACUUGGUUGGUUUCUAAGGUGCUACUGGACA